rnacentral:misc_RNA from 1 species
GAUGAAGAACGUAGCGAAAUGCGAUAAGUAGUGUGAAUUGCAGAAUUCAGUGAAUCAUCGAAUCUUUGAACGCACAUUGCGCCCUUUGGUAUUCCUUAGGGCAUGCCUGUUCGAGCGUCAUUUAAACCUUCAAGCUCAGCUUGGUGAUGGGCGACUGUCCCCCCCCCCUCGCGGGGGGGACUCGCCUCAAAAACAUUGGCGGCCGGUACAUUGGCUUCGAGCGCAGCAGAAACGCGGUCUCGAGCCCGGUGGAUCGGCUCCCAUAAGCCUAUUCUUUUAUUUUGACCUCGGAUCAGGUAGGGAUACCCGCUGAACUUAAGCAUAUCAAUAAGCGGAGGA